rnacentral:rRNA from 1 species
UACGUAGGGGGCAAGCGUUGUCCGGAUUUAUUGGGCGUAAAGAGCGUGUAGGCGGUUAGGUAGGUCCGUUGUGAAAACUCGAGGCUCAACCUCGAGACGCCGAUGGAAACCAUCUGACUAGAGUCCGGAAGAGGAGAGUGGAAUUCCCGGUGUAGCGGUGAAAUGCGCAGAUAUCGGGAGGAACACCAAUGGCGAAGGCAGCUCGCUGGGACGGUACUGACGCUGAGACGCGAAAGCGUGGGGAGCAAACAGG